AACGAACGCUGGCGGCGUGGAUAAGACAUGCAAGUCGAACGAUUAUCAUCGGGUAGCAAUAUUCGGUGGUGAGAGUGGCGCAAGGGUGCGUAACACGUGGGUAAUUUGCCGUGAAGUCUGGAAUAACUUGCUGAAAGGCGAGCUAAUACCGGAUGUGAUUACUGGGAGGCAUCUUCUGGUACUUAAAGUCGGGGACCGCAAGGCCUGACACUUCUCGAUAAGCCCGCGGCCUAUCAGCUAGUUGGUGAGGUAACGGCUCACCAAGGCUAAGACGGGUAGCUGGUCUGAGAGGACGACCAGCCACACUGGAACUGAGACACGGUCCAGACACCUACGGGAGGCUG
rnacentral:rRNA from 1 species